rnacentral:rRNA from 1 species
UACGUAGGGGGCAAGCGUUGUCCGGAUUUAUUGGGCGUAAAGCGCACGCAGGCGGUCUGCCAAGUUCGGAGUGACAGUUUCCGGCUUAACCGGAAAAGGUCUUCGAAAACUGGUGGACUUGAGGACUUGAGGGGGAGACGGAAUUCCUGGUGUAGCGGUGAAAUGCUUAGAUAUGACAUAGAACACCAAUUGCGAAGGCAGCUCGCUACACAUAUAUUGACUCUGAGGCACGAAAGCGUGGGGAUCAAACAGG